UGCCAGACUCCUACGGGAGGCAGCAGUGGGGAAUAUUGCACAAUGGGGGAAACCCUGAUGCAGCGACGCCGCGUGAGCGAUGAAGUAUUUCGGUAUGUAAAGCUCUGUCAGCAGGGAAGAAGAUGACGGUACCUGACUAAGAAGCCCCGGCUAACUACGUGCCAGCAGCCGCGGUAAUACGUAGGGGGCAAGCGUUAUCCGGAUUUACUGGGUGUAAAGGGAGCGUAGACGGCGAUGCAAGCCAGAUGUGAAAGCCCGGGGCUCAACCCCGGGACUGCAUUUGGAACUGUGUGGCUGGAGUGUCGGAGAGGCAGGCGGAAUUCCUAGUGUAGCGGUGAAAUGCGUAGAUAUUAGGAGGAACACCAGUGGCGAAGGCGGCCUGCUGGACGAUGACUGACGUUGAGGCUCGAAAGCGUGGGGAGCAAACAGGAUUAGAUACCCCCGUACA
rnacentral:rRNA from 1 species